CAGCCGCCGCGGUAAUACGUAGGUCCCGAGCGUUGUCCGGAUUUAUUAGGCGUAAAGCGAGCGCAGGCGGUUAGAUAAGUCUGAAGUUAAAGGCUGUGGCUUAACCAUAGUACGCUUUGGAAACUGUUUAACUUGAGUGCAAGAGGGGAGAGUGGAAUUCCAUGUGUAGCGGUGAAAUGCGUAGAUAUAUGGAGGAACACCGGUGGCGAAAGCGGCUCUCUGGCUUGUAACUGACGCUGAGGCUCGAAAGCGUGGGGAGCAAACAGGAUUAGAUACCCGGGUAGUCCCUGUCUCUUAUACC
rnacentral:rRNA from 1 species